CCUACGGGAGGCAGCAGUGGGGGAUAUUGCACAAUGGGGGGAACCCUGAUGCAGCGACGCCGCGUGGGUGAAGGAGUGCUUCGGCAUGUAAAGCCCUAUCGGCAGGGAAGAAGCAAGACGGUACCUGACUAAGAAGGCCCGGCUAACUACGUGCCAGCAGCCGCGGUAAUACGUAGGGGGCGAGCGUUAUCCGGAUUCACUGGGUGGAAAGGGAGCGUAGACGGCCAAGCAAGCCAGGGGUGAAAGCCCGGGGCCCAACCCCGGGACUGCCCUUGGAACUGCAUGGCUGGAGUGCGGGAGGGGCAGGCGGAAUUCCUGGUGUAGCGGGGAAAUGCGUAGAUAUCAGGAGGAACACCGGCGGCGAAGGCGGCCUGCUGGACCGCGACUGACGUUGAGGCUCGAAAGCGUGGGGAGCGAACAGGAUUAGAUACCCUUGUAGUC
rnacentral:rRNA from 1 species